rnacentral:lncRNA from 1 species
UAAAGGCCAAGUUGACUGACUGUGAAGCUCAGGCCUUUGUUCAGCUGUCCUAUGGGCUUUAGAGCGCCUGAGCCCUGUGGGUUCUACCAUGGCCUGAGCCUUUGAAUGACACAGUGGUUUUUUUUCUUUUUUUUUUUGGCGAGGAAGAGUGGCCAUGAGAUAACAUCUGUUGACACUCUUCCUCUUUUUGCUUGAGGAAGAUUGUUGCUGAGCUAACAUCUGUGGCAGUCUUCCUCUAGUUUGUAUGUGGGACACCGCCACAGCAUGGCUUAAUAAGCGCAGCAUAGGUCCACAGCCCGGAUUCCUGCACACAAACCCUGGGGAAGUGGAGCACGCACACUUAACCCCUACACAGUGGGUGGGCCCCUGACUGCCACAAUUUUAGCAGAGGAGGAACAGCCUGGUCCUCACAAGCCUGCUUUGCUUUCAACACAGACUAGCCUGAUGGAAGGACAAAGAAGAGCGUGUUUCGGUUUCAGAGAAGCUGAAUUUCCAGUUGCCUUUCAAACUUCUGCUGAGCCACCCUUUAUUCUUAGAUGAGUUGAGUAUGGAUACUGAGAGGCUGAGGGUGGACAGAGAUGCCAGCUCCCAUUUCCCUCCUGCCUCCUGCCUGAGCGCUCCCUUUCCUGACCAGGCCCUGGCUCUGACCUGACGCCUUGAACCUGGCCUGGGGCUGACGACCCUUGGAAGGAGGAGCCAGAUGGAAUCAUCUCCCUGCUAUUGUCUCAGCUGUCAGCACACUAGCACAGGAACAGAUGACAGAAGCACAAGGAUAGGAUUUUAUCGGAAAAUUCACAUACCGAAAGCAUCGGGAGUGACUUUAUCAAAGGAAACAGAUAAAGGAUAAUCAUCCUUGUGAGUGAUCCUACCGAGAAUGUGGUGACUUAAUCCAUCAAGGGUUUCUGGAAUCCUGAAUUCCUAGGGCAGGUCAAUGUUACGGGCCUCAGAGGACAGAGGAAGAAAAAAUAUUG